rnacentral:lncRNA from 1 species
UGACAGCACAAACAUAAACUACAACUAGUCCUUCACUAUGCACACAUGGAGUUUUAUUAUGUGCUACAAGCUGAGUGAACAAGAAAGACAUGGCCCCUGCCUUCACGAACCUUACAAUGGCUAAUCCCUAGAGUGAAUAGCCAUUAAAUAACCAAUCACUAGUGUGACAUUAUACAAAGAAGAGAAGAGUGCAUUGGGGCAGCAUUCUGCAGCAAGCUGGGAAGCUGGUUUUGAAGAGGCACAGGGUAGGCUUCACCUCUGUGUGAAAGUGAAAUACACUCGCAGAAGCCAUUUAUGGCAGGUAUUCACGAGGCAAGAAUAUUCAUGGGCAUCUGGGAUGGUGCUUGUCUCUGCGCCUGAGAGAGGACAGUAGAUGCUGUGCGUUGGGAGAUGACAUCACUGGGAGCAUGAAGAAAAUAGAAUGUAAUGGGCGAUGAGGAGAGGGAGUCAGGUCUGUGGGUUGUGAUCGAAUUCAGUGAUUUUAUCACAGAAGUGAUGCUAAGCCAUUGUAGCUCUCAGGAAAAUGGAGAUAAACAUGACAUUCAGAGUUUUAUGAGUACUUUGACAACAGAACAAAGAAGGAUAUCAGCUGAGGGAAACUGGAAGUUGUGUGUUGUGGUUACUGUAAUCCUGCUUAUCUAAGAUUUGAUGCAUCUACCCUGGUGCAUUGUGUCUGCUGUGUCUUUUGUAAUUUUGAAAGCACCAACUGGGUCAUUUUUUCCCACAUCUGCCUUCCAGUAAGCAAACUCCUCUGUCUGGAGUGACCAUCCCAGUGGAUCCCUGGGUGUCUCUUUCAUUGUAGGGUUUUCUGCAAAACGCAAAGCCUUUGACCCUGCCCCUCCAUAUCCUGAGCCCAGGCUUCUACAUGAUCUCUGCAAAUUUUCUUGCUUGUUUUGACUUAUUAUUGGAUGGUGUUACCAGCUUACUCCUCUUGUGGAUGAAAAAUGAGGACUUCCUUGAGGAUAGAGAGAGAGAGAGGCAUAUUCUCUAGGCUCUGGGAAGCUCACCAGUAGGCACUAGAACUCUCAGGAGGAUGUCACUGGGCUAACAACAGUAUAAUUUUGAGUUAUUAUUGAAUGUUCCUCCUGUCCUGUAGGAAACAAAGUUGAUGAUGGAAAGAAUGUGAAUUCUAAAUUGUUUCAACUACAAUAAUAGAAAACUUGGGGAAUAUUGGAUAAAAAACCCUCAGAAUAUUUGUUUACUCAUAAGCUAGGAGUCAGAGAGCCUGAUAGUUAGUUUGGUAGCUCAGUGAUAUCAUGAACAUUGCAGUGUCUUUCUUCCUUGAUGUCAUUUAUAUUUUGGUCUCAUGGUCAAAACAUAGCUACAUACGUAGCUCAUGGCUACAUAGCUCCAAGCAGAAAGUUUUCACAUGAAAUACAUCU